AGAGGUGUAGUUUAGCAGUAGAGCACUUGCCUAGCAUGUAUGAGGAUCUGGGUUAGAACCCCAGUAUCUCUC
rnacentral:tRNA from 1 species